rnacentral:misc_RNA from 1 species
GUUUUUAGGUACUCUUUCUGCUGGCUACUGCAGUUGUAUAUAUCUCUAAUUCUGUUUUUUGCUGUGGGUGUUCAUUUUCUUGAUUCCUUUGCUCAUAAUUGUUUAUUGCUUGUAUUAUGAUUCACUUUACUGGCACAGAUGGUAUAUGGGUUCAUGCCAACGCACAACUUAAAAGGAAUUUUCUUUUUAUAGAAAUUGGUUGAAAUGCUAGGUUAAGAGGUGAACUGGAUACAGAUUUGGAGAUUUUGGGUUAAGGAUUAAGGUUAUUCUGUGAUUAUCAGAUUGGAUUUUUAACCAUUUCUUUUUCUUUUAUCAUGCUAGAGGUUAUUAAGAUGGGAUCCAUGCUGCUUCUACUCGUAUUGACAUUCUUUGUCUUCUCGGCGUUUGUGAACAAUGGUAACGCGGGGAUCACGAGUUCUUUCAUUCGGUCUGAGUGGCCAGCUACUGACAUCCCUCUUGAUAACGAAGUAUUUGCUGUUCCUAAUGGUUACAAUGCACCACAGCAAGUACAUAUAACCCAAGGUGACUAUGAUGGAAAAGCUGUAAUUAUCUCAUGGGUGACAACUGAUAAUCCAGGGUCCAGUAAAGUGCAAUAUGGUGUGUCAGAAACAAAAUAUGAUUUUACUGCUGAAGGGACAGUGACAAACUAUACCUUUUACAAAUAUAAAUCUGGCUACAUUCAUCAUUGUCUCCUUGAUGGCCUUGAGUAUGACACCAAAUACUAUUACAAGAUUGGGGAUGGUGAUUCUUCUCGUGAAUUUUGGUUUCAAACACCUCCAAUGAUUAACCCAGAUGCUUCUUACAAAUUUGGAAUAAUUGGUGACUUGGGGCAGACCUAUAAUUCCCUGUCUACUCUUGAGCAUUACAUGCAGACUGAAGCUCAGGCUGUCUUAUUUGUCGGAGAUCUUUCUUAUGCUGAUAGAUAUAAGUAUAAUGAUGUUGGUAUACGAUGGGAUUCAUGGGGUCGUUUUGUUGAGAGAAGUGCUGCAUAUCAGCCAUGGAUGUGGUCUGUUGGAAAUCAUGAGAUAGAAUACAUGCCUUACAUGGUAAAAUGUUUUUCUCAUUGUCAAAUUAUUUUAUGAUAAAUAUUAUUAUAAAUCUUUUGAGUUGCUUAUCGAUUCUAUAAAAUUGUUUUAAAAUGAUGUUUAUUUUCUUGUCAUUUCAUAAAAAUACUUGGAUAGUGAAACAUUGAACAUCCUUUGUACCAUUUAUAAGCAUUUGCUUCCCCUUGUUGCUGUUGUGCUGCUACUCUCAAAGUGAUAAGCAUGGAAUAAUUUCAGGGAUAGUUCAAACCUUCUUUUUACCACUUAUUUUGUUUUGCGGUUAUUCUUUCUUGUUAUGUAUUUUUGCUUUUCUCAUUCCAUGAAAUUGGGAAUAACUAAAAGGCACUCAGCAUAAGCUUGCGUUGGAUCACAAAGAAAAGAGUUAAAAUUUAAUUUUAAGUUAUAUCAGUGUUGUUAUUUUGUGGUCUGUAAUCCCUGAUGUGACUACAUCAAUUUCACAAAGUGUAGCGGUCAUGGGAACAAUCAUUGAGAUCUUAGAAAACAAUAGUAAAUCCAUGGGCAACUGGGCUUUGUAAGACAUGAGGAUGGGGUCUGUUUUUGUCUGAACCUUCAUAGUAUGAAUGAAUUCUUUGAUGUUUUUAUCUUCUUCUUUCCACUGCUCACAGUAUCUGCCAUGUAGCAGUCUUCAACAAUGACAUACAUAGUGACAUAGUUCACAUACUAGAAUUAUGUCAUUGCUCUGGCAUUUUUAAUAUUUAAAGUUUCUUGUUCAGUUGUAUGAUUAUACAUGGCUAUUAAAAUUAUAAAUAUAGCAGCUUGUUGGGCUUUGAAUCCUUGUAAGGUAUAAAUACGUGCAGGGGGAAGUCGUUCCUUUCAAAUCCUAUCUCUAUCGGUACCCAACCCCUCAUUCGGCCUCCAAUAGCAGCAGUCCUCUCUGGUAUGCCAUCAGACGUGCGUCUGCUCAUAUAAUUGUGCUAUCCAGCUAUUCUCCUUAUGUUAAGUACACACCUCAGUAUGUGUGGCUCAAAGAAGAACUCGAAAAGGUUAACAGGGAGGAGACACCUUGGCUCAUUGUUCUCAUGCAUGUCCCAAUAUAUAACAGCAAUGAAGCACACUUCAUGGAAGGUGAAAGUAUGCGAGCAGUCUUUGAAGAGUGGUUUAUCCGUUACAAAGUUGACAUAAUCUUUGCUGGUCAUGUUCAUGCUUAUGAGAGAUCAGUAUGGUUUCUUUACUGCCAUCUCUUUCCAUUAUUUUGCAAUAUGGUAAUUAAUAUGCACAAUUUUUGACUUAGGAAGAGAAUAAAUGAGUGAAAUUAUUUGCUUCAACCAUUGAACUCCAUAAUUUGAGUGUCAAAAUUGAAACAAAUUGUAAUAUGAACCGCACUAUAUUUGAUCAUUUAGUUAUUGCUGAUACAUUGUUGCACUUGUUUGAUGUAUUUGACGUGACAAUAUUAUACAAUUCAAUUGAGAAGUAUAUCCAUAUUACUUGAAGGAUGCUAAUGCUUUUCCCCCUCUCAUGUGAAUUUCAGUAUCGAAUCUCAAAUAUUCACUACAAUGUAUCAAGUGGUGAAUGUUAUCCUGUAGCAGACAAAUCUGCACCGGUUUACAUAACUGUUGGAGAUGGAGGAAAUCAAGAAGGUCUUGCUGGAAAGUUUAGAGAUCCACAGCCAGAUUACUCUGCAUUCAGGGAAGCUAGUUAUGGGCAUUCAACAUUGGAGAUAAAGAACAGGACCCACGCAUUCUACCAGUGGAACCGAAAUGAUGAUGGGAAACAAGUAGCUACCGAUGCAUUUGUGUUGCACAAUCAGUACUGGUCAAGCAGUCUGAGACGGAGAAAACUGAAGAAGCAUCAUCUGAGGAGUGUCGUUGGCUGGAUUGCCAGUCAGUGAUAAGAUUCAGGAGGUUAAAGCUGCUAAGAAUAAUUGGAACCUGUAUUUGUAAUUUGUACCCAAAUAAGUAAACGGCUUUCCUGGAUAAUAAAUGACUGGAAAUUCAUUCUAUAUUGCAGAAAUGUGUGAUGCCUCUCCUCUGUAUUCUGUCUCAAUAUCACACACAAUCACAUUGAAGUACUAGAGAACAUGAAAGCUGAUAAUAUUAUUGUCUAGAGCUAGGAACUGUACUUUGACAAAUUAGAAAUAAGACUUUCUGCAGAUGAUUUAGUUCUUAGUUCCAGCUGAUGGCUAAGCAGAAGACUUCACUUUGCAGGUUGCAUGCCUCUCAAGUUGAAUCUAGAACAGAACCAGGCAAACACUAGUGCAAUUUGAAUCUGGAAUAAAGCAAUAUAUAUGCUGAAUAUCUAAGUGGUAACAAUGUCUUCUGCUGGCUAAGAUUAUGAACAUGAAUGAGAUACAGCAUUAGACCCAACUACCGGGCCGGCUUUGGUUCGAAUAGGCUUGGAACCAGAACUGUGAACCCCUAAGUUUCCGAUUCAAUCUGGUCCAAAUCUACCAUUCUAGAUUUUUUCCAGUUUUUGUUUUUUAUUUUUUAAAUGAAAGAAACAGUUAGACUCGAAACCAUCUUGUUAUGUUUCAAUUCAAUUGUAGUCUAGUUCAUUCAUGAU